UUUACUGCCCAUCUUAGUUGCCCUUCAGAAGCUGUCGGUAAGCUGCUGCAUGAACUGCUGCAGUCCAUGCGCUGUCGGUAGCUGCACAAUGUUGUUCAGAAGGGAAUUUUAUGAUUCUGACCCAGUGACAGUGAAAGGAUAUUUCCAAGUCUGGAUGGGAAGUGGCUUGAAGGGGAACGUGCAAGUUGUGUUGUUCCCAUGAAUCUGCUACCCUCGUCCAUCGAGAUGGAAGUGGUUGUGGAUUUAUAAGACAUCAAGAAGAUCCUUAUUUUCCAACUGGGCCUGACAAGAGAGGACUAAGAUUAUUUAUCUUUAAGGCCUUGGAUAAAGAGUGCUGAAAUUGUUUUUCCGAAUCAAAGCUUGAACUCUGUUGAACGUGAAAGAUCUGGACUGAGGUAACAGAAAUCCACAGGAUUGGCAGAAGCACAGUCUAAUGGAGAGUGAUAGCGCUUGACAUCAAGGCUGCAUUUCGUUGAAAGUGACAUCAAGGAAUACUAGCAAAACUGAAAUCAAUGGGAAUCGGGGAAAACGCUGCACUGGUUGGAGUUAUACCAAGCACAAAGGAAGAUGGUUGUGGUUGUUUGACAUCAGUCAUCUCAGCACCAGGUCAUAUCUGAAGGGGUUCCCUAGGGUGGUGUCCUCGACCCAACCAUCUUCAGCUGCUUCAUCAAUGACAUUCCCUCCAUCAUAAGGUCAGAAAUCGUUCACCAAUAAUUGCAUAACAUUCAGCACCAUUUGUGACUCCUCAGUUACUGAACCAGUGCAAAUCCAAAUGAAAGAACACCUUGACAGUAUCCAGGUUUCAGCUGAAAAAUGGCAAGUAAUAGUCAUGCCAUGUAACUGCCAGGUAAUGACAAUUUCCAAUAAUAUACAACCUACCCAAAAAGCUUUGACAUUCAAUGAUGUUACCAUCAGUGAAUUCCUCCAUUAUCAACAAACUGGGAUUAUCCUUGAUCAGAAAUUCAACUUGACUUGCCAUACAAACACAGUGCCUGCAAGAGCAGGUCAGAGGCAAGGAACACUUCCCCAAAGCCUAUUCAUCAUCUACAGGGCUUAAGUCAGGAGUGAAAUGCAAUGUUCCCCAUUUGCCUGGGUGUGUUCAGCUCCAACAACAAUAAAAAAGCUUGAUAGCAUUCAGGACAAAGCAGCCAGCUUUACUGGCAACACAUCCAUAAUUUAAUGACUUUGUUGUUGGUGGGGUCCAGUGCCAGCAUCAACACUGUCAGUAGCAUAAUGGCAACACGGCCACAUCCACUUGUUGGGCCACAGCGAGAGUCGAGACUCCAAUGUUAGAGCUGGCUCUGAACCCGAGUGUAGAUAGACUUCUCUUUAUGCUCGAUCUUUUCAUUUUUGUCU